ensembl:lncRNA
GGAGUCUGAAAGCGAUUCUCCUCCCUGGCCUUCGCUGCACAUCAACAUCGACAACAAGGGAGAGGAGAAGCAGCUGUCUGAAAAGUCUCUGCACCCUCCUGCUUCCCCAGCGAUGCUCCCCGACCACCUCAAAUGUAACAUCCUCAAGGCCCAGAUGGAGGCAGCCUUCAGAAAAGAAGCCCCAACAACACCCAGAGGGAAGAGCUCAACUGAGACCCUGAAUGAGAGGUAUCAGAGCUCCUCCCAAGACUCAGCGGCAUCCAGUCUGACAGCAGAAAAGACGCCCCACAGGCAAGAUCGCAACCUGACGCCAGAGAGGCUCCAGCCCAAAGCCAACCCGAGCACCAACCGCAGGAAACGGCUGGUCCGGCAGUUCAGCUUUAACCAUGAAGAUGAAGAUAAUCUCCCUGAAGCACUCGCAGCCAUCUCCUCCCAGAGUACAGCAAAGUCGGGCUCUAGCAGCUCAUUGGACAAACAGAUACAGCCGUCUAUCUACCCACAGGGGGAUAAUAUGCCAGCACUGGAGCUGGGUAGUCCAUGCUGUCCCUCUCCUUCGCCCUCCCCUCAUCUCUCCCCUUCUUACUACCGUAGCUCCAUUCCUCACCUGGUUCCUUACCUUGCUGCCCAUAAUGACAGCGGAGAAGAAAUUAGGGUGGACAGAGAGAAGAUCCUGAGAGCGCUCCUGAUGACAGAGCUCUGAGACCUCGACCCUUCAGACGGAAGCUAAGAAGUCCCAAAGUCACUGGUGUCAGUCAGCAUUUGUAUACUUGCAUUGCACAUUUAGCAGUUAUAAAUCUAUAUUUGCAUAAAGGCGGUUGUUAUAUUUGCUUAGUUGUUAUAUUAGAAAGAAGGCUCUUUGUAAUAACUGAACUGAACCUGUACAAAAAAGCGAAAUGGAAACAAGUGGAUUCACUCACAUGCAUUACAGACGAGCUACAGACUGUAUUCCUGGUGCUGCCUGCAUGAUUAAUAUGUUUCCCUAAACGAUUAUCAGAUUUUGCUUUGGACUUCUGUUUAUGUGUGAGUUCAUCCUCAUCGUCUUCAUCGCCGUGUCCGUGCUGAUGCCUAAACUGUGUUUCAGACAGCGACUGUUGAAGCUUUGAUCUCCAUGUAAAAAGCUCUCCUGAAAUGAAAGUCACUUCACUUUCAAAUC